UUGUUUACCGCUUGGUUAUACCUGUCUGUAUUUGUAAAUACAGUAGGCACUCCAUUAAAAAAAUAAAUUUUGACGAAGUAAAACUAAAAUAAACAACAAAAUCAUUUAGAGGGGACUGAAUUCCAGAUUAAGCUUACAUUUGGAGACUAUACACUACAAAAAAUUCAAAAAUAUUCGGGAGCUUUGGAUUUCGGCGCUUUCCAGCACCGCAAUCCGCAAGAUAUUUAUCGCCAUUGCAAUUAAAAGUGUCUAAUAAUUUAAAAGUUUUAAAGGUUGUGAAUCAUCAGAGAAUGUUCCCAUAGACGCAAACAGAAAAUGUU